AACAUUGUAUUUUACAUCAGAAAGAUUUUAUUCUCAUAAUCAUUUUCUUCAAUUAAAUCCAGAUUACUGUAGAUGCUGUUGUUGGUUUAAAAAGGCUCUUGCCGUAAACUUCUCUGACAUUUUCCCCCCAAUGUGUCAAUUUAACAUAUUCAGCCUGAUCACCUGUUUGCUGUGAAAUCUUGCAAUAAUGACAAUACAUAAAUAAUUCAGACAAAUUCAGUCACAUCCAUGUGCCCCUUCCUUUCGUAAUUAGUUUGUACUUUAAAAAUCUUGCAUGCAUACAGAUUUUCUCUGGAAUAAUUGCAGUCCAAAAGAAAGACAAGCAACCAAAACUGUCGUUAUGUGCGUCGAAGCAAGCACCAUACGUUCAGAGGACAGCAGUUUAAUAAACUCACACGAGGAUCCAGAGAGCAAACACUACCACUUAGUUGCGUUACAUCCGGGGAGAGAGGAGGAGCUUGCAGUCUAAGCUACAGUAGCCGUGCGGGACAUUUCUUUAGCACAAUACACAAUCAUGCAAUUAUCUACAUCCUCUCCUUUUAGAACAUUGCCUCUAUAAAAAAUAUUGUUAACUAAAAAACUGUAAUAUACAAAUGUGACAUGACAGUCUAACAAUAAACAAUUCUGCGUAAAACUGGCAGCAUAAAAUUUACUGAAUUAACAAAUUAUUCCUCUUGGAAAUGCACGAAGGUACACUUGGUAAUAAUGGCAAGUAUGUAAACAACCUUAGAACUUAACUUUUUUUUUUUCAAAAUGCAACUAACAAACAUGCAGUUCAAUCCUUAUACUUCGGAUUCGGCUUAGAAAUCCGACCUGAGCGAGUCACAUAAGCAGAACAAUUGUGUGAUACUCGGGUGGGCAAGUCAGCUGGAGAUGUUGUUGAUUGCUCAUUGGUGGAGUAGUGAGCAGAUGGCUGAGAGAAGUGAGACGGUCGGGCAUGUGGACUGGAUAGAAGAGGGUCUGGUGUACUCGGAACUGGUGGUUGAGAGUGAUGGUCAGAGUCGGCGUGCAAAGGUGGGGUUGGUUCAGCAACAGGAAGGAUGUGACGGCGAUUCCUCCUGUAGAUACCUCCGUUGGAUUCAACGAUGUAGGAGCGCGGCUCUUUGCAAGCCUGAACCACUUUCCCGAGGCGCUGUUUGGCACUGCGGACGGCACGCUCGGCUAAUCCAUUUGACUGCGGGUAUUCGGGACUGCUGGUAACGUGAGUAAUAUCCCACUGUUUGGAAAAGUCGCGGAAUCGUUGGCUUGUGUACUGUUUGCCAUUAUCAGAAAUCAGUGUAUGGGGUGCUCCAUGAACAGAAAAACGUCUCUUUAGCUUUUUUAUCACUGUAGCUGAAGACAAAUCACGAAGCAGAUCAAUUUCGAACCAUCCCGAGUAAGAGUCUACAAGGACUGAAUACUGUUGACCAUGCCAUUCAAAAAUGUCUGUUGCGACCGUAGACCAUGGCAGGGUAGGGACAGGAUGAGCUUUUAGCGGUUCCUUUUGCUGGUGUGGUCGUGUGCUAUUGCAUACAGCACAAGACAG